GUGAAAUGUAACAGAUCUAUAGUCGACUUGAUUCACAGAGUGACAUAUCUAUAUGGAAGCAUUCAAUUCGUGCAGUAUUAGUUGUCUCAUAAUUGUAUUGUAGUUGAAAGGCAGGUCGACAACUACACAAUUGAUAAUGGUUCUUCAUUGAUGGGAAAACUCUUCAAGUUCGACUAUGAGAACGAUUUGGCCCCUUGCGUCAAUUUGGCUUCCAAUGAAGCCUUGCAAUUGCAGGUUGUACCGCUCCUAAAUUCUCAUCUGCUCAAAUGUUUUUUAGUCUAAUAUGUUGUCGAAACUUCGAUUAUCCACAAGUGUUCGGCGGAUAUUUAUUAUGGCCGUUGUCAUAGUUAUGAUCAUGGCGUUACUCUGAUUUUGCAAUGCCCAAUGGAAAUCUUCUUUCAAAAACUUGAACCAUUCUAAGGUUUUCCUAGUCUAAUAUUUGUCCAGUGCUGACCUAUUUUGAAAUUCUGCCAGACUCGAGCUUCUUUGGUAUGGUAGGAGCGAGGGAAUGUUUGCUUGUGUAGAGUAAGUUUUUGGCACCUCGCUAAGUUUGGCCUAAAACUCUCGAAGUUGGCCUAGUCUGAUUAGGGCUUGCACAACUUCUUUGAGAUCAUGAGAUUCAUUGAUAUUUUAGCAUAUCGAUAUGUGAUAGUGAUAAUAUUUGCUUUAAUUGAGGCUGGCUGACUUCUUUUCAAGGGUGGAGCUUUUGGAAGAUUUUAUUGUCCCUUUUACAAGGACACCUUCCAAUAAGUUAUUCAAAGGGUGAUAUUCUUGGAACCUUUCAUUGUAAAGGCGAGGUUGCUCCACCUAUCUUCGUUCAUUCUUCCUCUCGAGCAUAGGUCUACAUUCUAACCUAUUUUCUUUUGGACGAGCUACUUCUCUAAUCUCCACAUUUUUUUUAUUUCUAGUUCAAUGUGGCUUCUUUUGCUCUUAUAUAUUUUUUAGAUUUGCUUUCGAAUUCAUGGUAGGUUUUUGGUCAUUCUUCGUGGAUAGACCAUCAAAAUCUUACUUUAAACCUUAGCUCAGACAAACACAAUUUAUUUGUUAAAUCUAUUGAGUUAGCUCUUCAAGGACUCACUUCGUCCUUGCUUAAUACUUACUAGGCGAUUUUUAGAUGUGGUUUUGGCUCUAAAACCCAUGAAUUAAGCCAAGGAGAUCAGUGUCAAGUCGUUCUAGGUCCUAACCGACCUCUGUCGUAAUUUCUAAAUCACCAUGGGCUUUGUUCCCAAGGAUAAGCAAGAAAGCUCUACGCAUUAUGUCAUCGCUCUCUCCUUGCAACUUCAUUCGAGAUAUAUACGUUUCGAGGUGUCACCCAUCCUCUAUGGAACAGCCAUUGGGAAGGUGCUGGUAUCAUCAUGGAACAUCCCUUUUUGAUUGGGUAAUGAUUAUUUUUCUUGAAAAUGACAACCUUGUGAUCAACUUAAUUAAAUAUAUGUGAUAUGGUCCAUCUAUUUACCUGAUAUGGUCCAUCCAUUUACCUCGACCUCAUAUUCCCGAUGACUCCCCCAACUCAGUCUUCAAAAAUAUAUUCAUCGGGUAUUCCCGAGGAUAUGGAAAAUAUCCUCGACUUCUCUCCUAAUCAUACCAUGAGGUUGGGAAGUGAAGUCCUUGGUAUUCAUGUCCUCAUGCUUUUUUACCUCAAUGAUACCACAUCCUCCUACGAACAGUGAUAUGUAACACUUGAUACCCCACAAGACUUCUAGAUGCAAGAGAAGUUUAUUGUUGUUAGACUUGUACUGAUCCCACACUUGUUAUGCAUGUCAAACAUCCACCUCCGAUAGGAUUCUACGGGAUGAAGAUUCCCCAAUUGUUCAAACCUAAUAGGAUUCAACCACUUAACACUAUAAAUACAUGGUUUCACCUCAUCAUUCAGGUACUCUUUUUAUACAAUUUUCAGUCCACAGCCUCACGCACAUAUUCUAACUUAAGCAUCGGAGGGGCGACGAGAACACACCUCGACGCCUUUGUUUCAGGUACCGGAAGAACACGUUCGUGCUCGCCACCAGUCGUCCAGCUCGAAAUUGCUCAGGUACGAUUUUUGGUAGCAUAAAUAUGUUUUCUCAUGGCGACCUUAUUUUAAGAACCGAGCUGGUUGUAAGGCCACUCACACAUACAAGGGGGGUGGGUAUUUUUUGUUUUUAAAUAAUCACCCACCCACUCACCUUGGCAUGUGUCUGGCCUAUACAGGC
rnacentral:lncRNA from 1 species